rnacentral:sRNA from 1 species
GUAAUGUUAUCUGAGCGAUUUGUCUGCUGGUAAAAUGGCUGGGUUUGGUAAAGGGAGUGGUCCAGUAGGGUUUGUUUUCUGGUGUAGAAGAUGCUGAAUCUCUAAUGACUGUUUCCUUCCAAUUGGCAGCAAAGCACGAUUGUGUGCCACAAUCGAGUGGACCCUAAUGGCUCAAGAUACCUGCUGGGAGACAUGGAAGGCCGGCUCUUCAUGCUGCUUUUGGAGAAGGAGGAACAGAUGGAUGGCACCGUCACUCUCAAGGAUCUCCGUGUAGAACUCCUUGGAGAGACCUCUAUUGCUGAGUGCUUGACAUACCUUGAUAAUGGUGUUGUGUUUGUCGGGUCUCGCCUGGGUGACUCCCAGCUUGUGAAGCUCAACGUUGACAGUAAUGAACAAGGCUCCUAUGUAGUGGCCAUGGAAACCUUUACCAACUUAGGACCCAUUGUCGAUAUGUGCGUGGUGGACCUGGAGAGGCAGGGGCAGGGGCAGCUGGUCACUUGCUCUGGGGCUUUCAAGGAAGGUUCUUUGCGGAUCAUCCGGAAUGGAAUUGGAAUCCACGAGCAUGCCAGCAUUGACUUACCAGGCAUCAAAGGAUUAUGGCCACUGCGGUCUGACCCUAAUCGUGAGACUGAUGACACUUUGGUGCUCUCUUUUGUGGGCCAGACAAGAGUUCUCAUGUUAAAUGGAGAGGAGGUAGAAGAAACCGAACUGAUGGGUUUCGUGGAUGAUCAGCAGACUUUCUUCUGUGGCAACGUGGCUCAUCAGCAGCUUAUCCAGAUCACUUCAGCAUCGGUGAGGUUGGUCUCUCAAGAACCCAAAGCUCUGGUCAGUGAAUGGAAGGAGCCUCAGGCCAAGAACAUCAGUGUGGCCUCCUGCAAUAGCAGCCAGGUGGUGGUGGCUGUGGGCAGGGCCCUCUACUAUCUGCAGAUCCAUCCUCAGGAGCUCCGGCAGAUCAGCCACACAGAGAUGGAACAUGAAGUGGCUUGCUUGGACAUCACCCCAUUAGGAGACAGCAAUGGACUGUCCCCUCUUUGUGCCAUUGGCCUCUGGACGGACAUCUCGGCUCGUAUCUUGAAGUUGCCCUCUUUUGAACUACUGCACAAGGAGAUGCUGGGUGGA